CAGUGAACAGCAGCGGAAUUUGUGCAGUCAGCUGCGAGCAGCGAAGAAGCAGAAUGCACAGAAACUGCUCACGUAUCUCAGGAUUUACCAGGAGGUGGUGAUGCAGCUUUUUAGGAAGGAGAAGAACUGCAAGCUCAACCACUGGAGAAGAAUGUGAAGGAAUUGUCUUCAAAGAGAGGGCAGAACUUUACAGCUGGGCCAGAGAUGCCGCUCAGCGGAAGGAGCUCUUGGAGAGCUGAAGCUCCUCUUCCGGACACAGCAGAAGUAUUCCAGGAGCCUCGUGAGAAGGGGCCGAGUUGCUGAGGUGUGUGCAAAGCAUGUCAUCGCCACAGAAAUGAACUCAUUGCCCUCUGAGACAUCAAACUGCUUGAAUUUGGACAGCUACAGGUGAUGCUGACGGUGAAGUGGAAGUAGAGCGAGUUGCGGUCAGAUUAGAAGUUCAAGAACUGGCUGAUUCUUUCGAGAGCAGAUUGAAGAAUGCCAGCAGAGCUUGUCAGAGCUGCAGAAGGGCCAGCUCUCUGUGGCAGCGGAGCUGUCAAAGGACACCGGCCCUGUUGUUGUGUAUUUGGACGUUUCUGCCAGCGAUGAACCUUCAGGACACACAGCCACGGAGCUGCUUUCACACAUUGUCCCUCGGACGGCUGAAAAGCUCAGGGCCCUGUGCACAGGGGAGAAAGGCUCGUGGAUUCAGGAGUACCACGUUUCACAGGAUAGUUAGUGACUUCCUAUGUCAGGUAAGCUUAACGUGAAGGCUUUUCACGGAGAGAAAAAGCCCACCUGGGCUGCAGCACCGCAUGGAUCCUGCCUGAAAGUGGGCUUUUCCAGUUUUUGACUGUAGUGAGAGUAGCCAAAAUCAGCAGGGCUGCUGUCAGCAGCGACGCCUCAAGCUUUCCCGACACUUCUAGAGAGGAUCACGUUUGAUUCUUGGGGAGCUGUGACUUCAUGGGAACGCCACAGCCUGCGUAACCAGCAGUGGCAGCAACGAUGUCGAGACAACGACUUUCACAGGCAUGAGAAGUAAUGGAGAUGUGCACAGUUCUUCCAGCCGCUGUGCAAAGAGCGAAUCCAAACCAGCGCUCUUCUUUACAAGUCCCUUCAUGCUGUGAGGUUUCUGCCAACGGUGGGUGUGCUUACAACAGAGACAUGAGUUUUCUUUCAUUGUUAUUUUGUUCCAGGCGUGUACCUGGACAGAGCCCAGCAGUUCCAUGAUACCAUUGUGUCCGUGAUGCUUUCCUAGUGAAGGGAGUUUCACCUGGGUGAUACCUCCUUGUACAGCCAAAUGCACUGAAACCAAAACGAACCUUG